UGUCAUAUUUUUCUUUUUGUUUUCUUCUCCGUUUGUUGAGAAAGAGAAGAGAUAGACAGUUAACCAAGUCAUGCUUUGAGAUUCCUCUUUCUCUCUCUCUCGAAGCAUUUCCAAAUCUGUGUUCUUGAGAUUCAGAUGUAUCCUUAUCUUGACGAUGAUGAUUUCGUCUCUGAUAUCUUUUGUUUCGAUCAAAGAUGAAUGAGAGAGAUGACUGUUUUUUAAACCUCGGCAGCAAUGGAGCAGAACUCGAUGAUUACACACAGUUUGGUGUAGAUUUGCAGCCUGGUCAAGAAGAUACCUUCCCAGAUUUUGGGUCAUACGGUGUCAAUCUACAGAGCGAUCCAGAACAAGUUUUCAGCAUAGGAGACUUGACAUCAUACAGUGGAGUUUUAACGCAAGAGCCAGGGUAAUUUCGUAACUCUGGUGGGACUGUGCAGGAAGAUGAAGUAGUUGUUAAUUCUGGCUCAUCUGGUGGAGCUGUAAAGCAAGAACUUGAACAUGUAGAUGAGGAAAGCUCCAAAAAGCGGGGAAGGACUUGAUCUUGUGUAUGACCAGGAGGGACCAAAGCUUGUCGUGAGAGAUUGAGGAGGGAGAAGCUAAAUGAGAACUACAGAACUUAUUAGUAUAUGUGUUAGUUUUGUAGUUUGAGUUGUCUAAAAAAUGGGUUUGUGUCUUUAGGUUCAUGGAUUUGAGCCUGGGAGGACUCCAAAGACCGAUAAACCGGCUAUACUCGAUGAUGCAAUCCGUGUCUUGAAUUAACGCAGAGAUGAAGCUCAUGAGCUUGAAGAAACUAAUCAGAAGCUUUUAGAGGAGAUCAAGAGUCUCAAGGUUCAGAAUAGAAUUAGUAUUUGAAAGUGGUGACAGAACAACUAAGUUCGUCUUGUUUGACCGGGAUGCAAAAAAGAUUACACACACCACUGCUGAAGAAAUAACUGCAUUAGAGGAAAGAGAAGAAGGAGACAAUCGCGACCAUCAAAAAGUACCGAAAUGUCUUCUAGACAUUAUUGGAAAGACAAUGGACUUCCAAGUUGUUGAUCAAAAAAAAGACUUCCAAGUCAAGAUUGCAGAGUACAACUUCAAAGCUUCUUUCCAGACUUUUACUGUUACCAAAAAAAAUUCAAUCCUUCAAGCGAACGAUGAUCCCAUGACAGCAAAGACAAAACAACCAAAGAAAAUGAACCAGAGAUGUAUGACAAUAUCAAAAAAGAUGGAGAAGCUCCUACUUUCCAGACUUCAAGUCUUGGUUCUGAAACUGCCCAGGAAAGGAAAAAAUGAAACAGAAGAUGUAAAGAAGCAAGUUAUGGAUGAAGUUACUACUGAGAACGAGACCAAGAAGUGACGGAUCAUUCCAUCGGUUAAAAACUUAAUAUUUAUAUUAAUAUAAUAUUUAACACAUAGACCUCUUAUGUUUGAGUUUUCUUUUUUCCAUUAUUAACAAUUCAGUGAGUUUCUAUUGAACUAAAAAAAAAUUAAAAAAAUAUUUUCAAAGUAAA